CGCUUUUUGAGUUUUAUAAAAAGUAAAACCUGCCCACUGAUAAAUUGAAUGGCCGCGGUAAUUUGACCGUGCGAAGGUAGCAUAAUCAUUAGUCUAUUAAUUGUAGACUGGUAUGAAUGGUUUAAAUGGUUAAUAGCUGUUUCUUAAAUAAAUAUGAAUUUUAAGAUUUUGUGAAGAUGCAAAGAUGAUACUAAAAGACGAGAAGACCCUAUUAAGCUUUAUAUUAUUUAUGUUUUAAAGAUUAUAGGAUAAAUAGUAUUUUAUUGGGGCGAUAGUAAAGAUUAAGUAACCUUUAUUUAAAAUAAUAAAUUUAAUAUAAUGAUGAUCCAUAAAUAUGAUUAUAAGAACAAGUUACUAUAGGGAUAACAGCGUAAUUUUANCGGAGAGUUCAAAUUGAUGAUAAAGAUUGCGACCUCGAUGUUGAAUUAGGAUACCUUUUGGGUGUAGCCGUUUUUAAAGGUAGACUGUUCGUCUAUU
rnacentral:rRNA from 1 species